CAUCGACAUUUCGAACGCACAUUGCGGUCCGUGGAGAAAUAUCCAGGACCACUCCUGUCUGAGGGCCG
rnacentral:rRNA from 1 species